UCGUGCUCUGAUUUUCGCAAGGUCCAGGGUUUUUGCGGAGCCGAGAACGAGUGCAUGCUGGGCACCUGUGCACCGCGUUGUUGCCCAUCGACUGCAGGGACGUGAAGCUGAUCCCUCGCAGCCGUCAGAAUAAUCGCGACAAAACCCCGAACCCUAAGUACCUGAAGUUGGUGGAAGUCGUCGCGAGACCGCUGAUUAUCACGAGGCCUUUCUGAUCGCUAGUCAAUUUCUUCACUGCUGCCAAUUCAAGCUCGAGAAAUCAAAGCGAUUCGAGAUGGAAUGGUGUUCCUGAAACCCUAAUUCCUCAAAAUCCUAAAACCCAACUCCCUAUAAGCUUCACUAGACUACAGUUUUCAUGCACCUCAUCUUCUUUCUCUAGUAUUCCUCGACCGAAUGUCUUGGGUUUUGGGAUUAAGAAGUAGGGAGAUCUAUACAUUUA
rnacentral:lncRNA from 1 species